rnacentral:ncRNA from 1 species
GCUAAUAGAGGUGCGUUCAACAAUAGUACACCAGCCGUUUAUAGAUAUGCAAUUAUCUGGCUAGUAGAAAGGGUGUGACCGCCGAAGUGUGAUACAGUUUGCAGUGUGUCGUGCUGGGUAUAAGGCUAAAUCCUUAUAACUGUCAUCAGAAGAUGAAGUACUAUU